CCUCUAGUGCCUAGAAUGGUGCCAGCCAUCUGUGGCUGCUCCAUCAAGGGAGACUGAAGUCAACCCGAAAGAGUGAUUGUAUUUAACUAUUUUAAGUGAAACACAUAAAAUAGUAUCCCAUUAUGAGAACAUCCUACAUUGUGAAGUGUUGGAACAACGCAGCAUAAAUGGAGAAGGAGACGGUGAAAAAGAUGAAGAACCACUAUGAAACUUGAGCUGACAGAGUUUGGAAUAAGAAUGGAUGUGACAGCUACAGAAGAAGAAAAGACAAUGUUGUUUCUGAAGUGGCAUGCCCUCCAGGGAGGAAUGGUUACUUAAUUAUGUAGGUGGCUCUUGGACAUGUCUGAUGAUAUCUGACACACAGUUCUGAGUUCGUCCGAAUAUCCAACCCACUCUGCAGCAUGCAGCAUCUUUUCUUUGUGGGCAGGACCUCAUCCUCAUCAUCCAAGGGUUGUCUCUUCUUCCUGGAUUCUCAUUCAAACAGCACUCUGAAUAAUUGUUCAAGGAUCUUCUCGGAUACCAUUAUGUCAAGCCAUCAUUACUUCACAUAGAAGACAAGAAGAAAAUAGUGUCUCUUCUAAGUCAAGUCACACUUUUGCUGCCUGUAGAUCCAAGACAAUGUUGGGCAGAUUGAUUACAGAGUCCAAUCUCCUAAACUGCAUAUGGAUUAGGAAACAGAUCCAGAUGAGCUGGGAGACACGUCCGACUUACUGGAUGGAGAGGUGGAAAUUCAUUAACUUUCAUGUUCAUUAAUGGCAUAUAAUUUAUUUCUCUUUAAACUUUAAUUCUGACCACAAGCUUGUUGCCUCUGGGCAUGUUGCUGACAUUUGGGACAAUUUUUUUGGCCAAGACUUUGAAUGAGCAAUACAAACUUCUGCUCAUGCCACAUGGGUGGUUUCCUUGAGGUGUUGUCAUGUUCACAAUCAUGUGAGUAGCUUCCCUUUCUCAAACAGUGGGGCUCUAUCAGAAAAACUAUCAUGCCCACUUUAUUAGACAACUGAAC
rnacentral:lncRNA from 1 species